rnacentral:rRNA from 1 species
GAUGAACGCUAGCGGCAGGCUUAAUACAUGCAAGUCGAGGGGUAGCAAGAUUGUAGCAAUACAAUUGUUGACGACCGGCAAACGGGUGCGGAACACGUACACAACCUUCCUACAAGUGGGGAAUAGCCCAGAGAAAUUUGGAUUAAUACCCCGUAACAUAGCGAUGUGGCAUCACAUUGCUAUUAUAGCUUCGGCGCUUGUUGAUGGGUGUGCGGCUGAUUAGAUAGUUGGCGGGGUAACGGCCCACCAAGUCUACGAUCAGUAGCUGAUGUGAGAGCAUGAGCAGCCACACGGGAACGGCGACACAGGCCCGACUCCUACGGGAGGCAGCAGUAAGGAAUAUUGGACAAUGGACGCAAGUCUGAUCCAGCCAUGCCGCGUGAAGGAUUAAGGUCCUCUGGAUUGUAAACUUCUUUUAUAAGGGACGAAAAAAGGUCUUUCUAGAUCGUCUGACGGUACCUUAUGAAUAAGCACCGGCUAACUCCGUGCCAGCCGCCGCCGUAACAC